AAAUCCUAAUGCUAACAUGAACCUUGGAGCAUUACUGUAAAGAAAACAGAGCAUCACUAUUGGUGUGGGUCCGGCCCAGGUCUUCAGAUGCCACCAGCCCUGGUGGAGAAAUUGCAUUUGCUUGAUGCUGUCGCUGAGGCUGUGCCACCUGCCAGGAUCACGGCCCUCCAUCAGCCCCCCAUGGCCACGCGCUCUUAGAAAGCAUGGCCACUAAUCCGUCAUUCACCACUCUGUGCAGAGCGGCAGACUCCCUCCCCAACCCACCCACACUUACCUCAUCCUAUUGAGAGCGCUGCCUGAUCGGGCAGAAUCAAAAUGGCUCACGUGCAAUAUGAAGAGCAAGUGGGUUUGACCAGUGCUCACGCCAAACCUAAAUACGGAUUGAAGUGCACCCUGCCAGCAUAAAGUGUGCAUUGUGUGGCUUUGCUGCGCGGUCCCCAGCCUCAGCUCCAGGGCUGUAAGAAUGCUGCACCCUCGCUUUGAGGGCACAACAAAGCAGCAGUGUCUGAAAUGGAAUGUGCUGCAGGUAGCGAGCUAAGCCUCCAUCACCAAAGGCAGUGGGAGGAUUAAUUAAACUCAAGAAGGCUGUUGCUUGGAGGGACUUCACAGGAAUGCAGACCGAAGGCCCUCAAAGAGCCCACAACAAAGGGCAAAGCCAUGCGCGCUGCAGCUCGUGCCAGGAUGAGCUCUGUGGGAUUAAGGGCUUGGUCUGCCUUGCAGAAAGGGCAGGAACAUCGCUGCCCUAGAGAGCAAUGUGAGCAGGAAACGGAUUUUCGGGUGGUUUUUCCUUGGUAGGGUGGAUUAAAAAAUUGCAGUCUUGCUAAUGACAUAAAU
ensembl:lncRNA